rnacentral:rRNA from 1 species
AGUGAACGCUGGCGGUAGGCCUAACACAUGCAAGUCGAACGGCAGCACAGUAAGAGCUUGCUCUUACGGGUGGCGAGUGGCGGACGGGUGAGGAAUACAUCGGAAUCUACUUUUUCGUGGGGGAUAACGUAGGGAAACUUACGCUAAUACCGCAUACGACCUACGGGUGAAAGCAGGGGAUCUUCGGACCUUGCGCGAUUGAAUGAGCCGAUGUCGGAUUAGCUAGUUGGCGGGGUAAAGGCCCACCAAGGCGACGAUCCGUAGCUGGUCUGAGAGGAUGAUCAGCCACACUGGAACUGAGACACGGUCCAGACUCCUACGGGAGGCAGCAGUGGGGAAUAUUGGACAAUGGGCGCAAGCCUGAUCCAGCCAUACCGCGUGGGUGAAGAAGGCCUUCGGGUUGUAAAGUCCUUUUGUUGGGAAAGAAAAGCAGCAGGUUAAUACCCCGCUGUUCUGACGGUACCCUAAGAACAAGCACCGGCUAACUUCGUG